UUCGGGUGUAAAGCACUUUCAGUAGGGAGGAAGGUAGUGUAGUUAACACCUGCAUUAUUUGACGUUACCUACAGAAGAAAGCACCGGCUAACUCCGUGCCAGCAGCCGCGGUAAUACGGAGGGUGCGAGCGUUAAUCGGAAUUACUGGGCGUAAAGCGCAUGCAGGCGGCCUGUUAAGUCAGAUGUGAAAGCCCGGGGCGUUAACCUACGGAAUUGCAUUUAGAAACUGGCAGGCUAGAGUCUUGUAGAGGGGGGUAGGAAUUUCAGGUGUAGCGGUGAAAAUGCGUAGAGAUCUGAAGGAAUACCAGUGGCGAAGGCGGCCCCCUGGACAAAGACUGACGCUCAGAUGCGAAAGCGUGGGGAGCAAACAGGUUUAGAUACCCUGGUAG
rnacentral:rRNA from 1 species